AGAGUGAACGCUGGCGGCGUGCUUAACACAUGCAAGUCGAACGAGAACGGGUCAUAGCUUGCUAUGAUUGUCAGCUAAGUGGCGCACGGGUGAGUAAUAUAUAGUUAAUCUGCCCUAGAGAGAGGGAUAACAGUUGGAAACGGCUGCUAACACCUUAUAUGCCUUUAAGACAUAAGUCUGCAAGGGAAACAUUUAUGGCUCUAGGAUGAGACUGUACGGUAUCAGCUAGUUGGUGAGGUAAUGGCUCACCAAGGCAAUGACACCUAACUGGUUUGAGAGGAUGAUCAGUCACACUGGAACUGAGACACGGUCCAGACUCCUACGGGAGGCAGCAGUGGGGAAUAUUGCACAAUGGACGAAAGUCUGAUGCAGCAACGCCGCGUGGAGGAUGACACAUUUCGGUGCGUAAACUCCUUUUAUAUGGGAAGAUAAUGACGGUACCAUAUGAAUAAGCACCGGCUAACUCCGUGCCAGCAGCCGCGGUAAUACGGAGGGUGCAAGCGUUACUCGGAAUCACUGGGCGUAAAGAGCAUGUAGGCGGGUAGUUAAGUCAGAAGUGAAAUCCAAUAGCUCAACUAUUGAACUGCUUUUGAAACUGAUUACCUAGAAUAUGGGAGAGGUAGAUGGAAUUUCUGGUGUAGGGGUAAAAUCCGUAGAGAUCAGAAGGAAUACCGAUUGCGAAGGCGAUCUACUGGAACAUUAUUGACGCUGAGAUGCGAAAGCGUGGGGAGCAAACAGGAUUAGAUACCCUGGUAGUCCACGCCCUAAACGAUGCACACUAGUUGUUGCUAUGCUAGACAUAGCAGUAAUGCAGUUAACACAUUAAGUGUGCCGCCUGGGGAGUACGGUCGCAAGAUUA
rnacentral:rRNA from 1 species